CGAGCCCUCAUCUCCUCCUCUCCCACUCCCUUUUGCAUUGCCUUGAUUUGCUCCCUUUAUUCACCUCCCCGUUCCACCCCACAUCACUCGCGUCCAUAUCGGUGAUUUAUUUACGUUCAUUAAUGUAAGCUCAUAGUGGACGGGGAAUCUGUUCUGCUGGGAUACUGUACUCUCUCCCAACCACUCAGCGCAGCGCUCAGUACCUGCGAUGGACUGAUAGAUCUCGAACCCCUAUUUUACAGAUGAGGAGACGGAGGCCCGGAGAAGCGAAGCGACUUGCUCGAGGUCACACGGUGGGGCAAGCGGCCGAGCGGGGAUGAGAACCCAGGACCCCGGACUCUCUCCAGGGCGGGGAUGCGACGGGGAAAGCCGUGAGGGUCUGUGAGCUUCUUCCCUCUGGAGGACCGACGCGGGCGAGAGGAAAGGUCACGGUGCCCAGAAGCCAACGGCGUCAGGAUCUUCAAAGCAUCCAUAAUUUCACGUGGGGGAUCGGGGCCCACCGCCUGGCCGUGCCGAGGGCACUGCAUUGAUUGGGAAAGAACAAUACGACAAUAAACGGAGAUAAUCCCUGCCACGACGAGCUCACGUUCUACCCUGAUGGAGGGUAAGCCCUCAAGAUGUCCCACCGUCAUUACCUUUAAUAUUCUCUGUCGUGCCUUUCUUUUCUAUCGAGGCCGCAUACCUCCCCAAAUACAUUUUUAUCAGACCGUUCGCGUUUCUUGAAAACAGAGCAAGGAAACCGUGUCCGAUGAUUCUCAUUCUGGAUUUCUGGCUUUUGAGGGAUUGUUCUCUGGUUCAAUUUCACUUUGUUAUGGAACAGUGAUUUUUCAUCAUCUUGCAAAUACUACCACGAGACAGUAAGCUCACUGUGGGCAGGGGAAGUGACUUCCAACUCUGGUACAUUGUACUCUCCGAAGCGUUCGGUACAGUGUUGUGCACACAGAAAGCUCUCAAUGAAUCCGAUGGACUGAUAAAUGACAGGAAUGAAAUUCACUUUGAGCUUAUAUUUUUCAUGUCCCCUUAGUCCUUUGACUACUCGCAGGAAAUGGAAAGACAAGAACCGUGAAUAGGUCGCGGU